AUGUAGGCCUAAGAUGCACUGUUCUAGAGAAAUGAGUGGAUUCAAGUAGCCGAGGUGAAGAAGGGGAGAACUGGGACUAGAAUUAUGUCAAGUGAAGAGGAAAAGGAGGAUUUAAUAUCUAAAUAGGUGGAAGAAAUUGUCGCUUUAAUUGGAGCUGAAUGGAGGUAAAAUAUUCUGGCAACCAAUUCCAACUGGACUGGAAUUCAGGCUUAUUUUUGCAGAGUUAGCAUUUAGUAAUUUUCUUUGGCUCACAUUAUUAUUUACAGCCCUGAAUUCUUUUUAUUACAAGAUUCUUUUUGGUUUAUAAUGAAU
rnacentral:misc_RNA from 1 species